ACAGCUCUCCUGUACAUCCUACCCAGUGAGUCCCUGGGAGGCUUGAACAGAUGCCUCACGAGCUGUUCUGAAUGUUCUUUCUCUUCACAUGAAUAAGAGCUUCUUACAGAGCAGGGGACAUGUCCUGCUUUUGUCUGCCCAGGCCCACUGUCAAAGUUUAUAAGAUUUCAUUUAUGGGACAAAAAAGAUUUAAAAACUGUAUAUGCAAUAUGAUAAAAUGUUUUUUAAAAACACUACAAAAGAACAAAGAAAUAGAUCAAAAUGUCAGCUGUGUUUGGGUGGCGCAGUACUAUGAAUAUGCUUUUCCUUUUUCUAUUCAAAUCUUCACUUAAAAAAUAUGGUUUAGGCCGGGCACGGUGGCUCACGCCUGUAAUCCCAGCACUUUGGGAGGCCGAGGCGGGCAGAUCACAAGGUCAGAAGAUCGAGACCAUCCUGGCUAACAUGGUGAAACCCCAUCUCUACUAAAAACAAAAAAUUAGCUGGGCAUGGUGGCGGGCGCCUGUAGUCCCAGCUACUCGGGAGGCUGAGGCAGGAGAAUAGCAUGAACCCAGGAGGCAGAGCUUGCCNNNNNNNNNNNNNNNNNNNNNNNNNNNNNNNNNNNNNNNNNNNNNNNNNNNNNNNNNNNNNNNNNNNNNNNNNUAUAUAUCAUUUAGGCUGGGCAUGGUGGCUCACGCCUGUAAUCCCAGCACUUUGAGAGGCCAAGGCGGCCAGGCGCGGUGGCUCAUGCCUGUAAUCCCAGCACUCUGGGAGGCCGAGGUGGACGGAUCACCUGAGGUCAGGAGUUCAAGACCAGCCUGACCAACAUGGAGAAACCCUGUCUCUACUAAAAAUACAAAAAAAAAUUAGCCAGGCUUGGUGGUGCAUGCCUGUAAUCCCAGCUACUCGGGAAGCUGAGGCGGGAGAAUUGCUUGAACCUGGGAGGCGGAGGUUGUGGUGAGCCGAGAUCGCGCCAUUGCCCUCCAGCCUGGGCAACAAGAGCAAAACUCCGUCUCAAGAAAAAAAAAAGAAAGAAAGAGAAGCCAAGGCAGGUGGAUCACUUGAGGCCAGGAGUUCAAGACCAGCCUGGCCAACAUGGUGAAACCCUGUCUCUACUAAAAAUACAAAAAUUAGCCAGGUGUAGUGGUGCAUGCGUGUAAUCCCAGCUAUUCAGGAGUCUGAGGCAGAAGAAUCACUUGAACCCAGGAGGCGGAGGCUGCAAUGAGCAGAGAUCACGCCACUAUGCUCCAGCCUGGGUGGCAGAGUGAGACUCUGUCUCAAAGAAAAAAAAGAAAAUGGCUUAUUUAUAUAUAUGGGGGGGUAUUUUUUAAGAUUCUGUUGGUUUCUAACACUGCCAAUCAACAAGAUGAACAUCAGUCAACCCUAAACAACUGCCUAAAUAUUUAGCUAGUUUCGAAAAGCAAAGAAUAGGUAGCUGUGAUAAAGUCCUCAUUUCUCACAAUGUCCAAGUUGAACAUUCCAUACCUUAAAAGAACGGAUGGAGGAUAUUCCACUAUCUGGCUGUCUCUGGUAAUCAUAGCGUGAGAAAGGCCCCUUAAGCACAGCUCCUGUGUGCUUUAAGUCCACAUUUUCUUCCACGGCAAUAUUACCCCAGUGAGAGACUUCAAUGACUCGGGUCAUGCUGGUGAUAGUCAGGAAAGGGCUGUUGUUCUCAUAAUGUACUUUAAAAGUAUCCUGGAAGGAAGGAAACAAAUAGUUCAAAGUUUUGGCAACAGAGAAAGCACCAUUAGUUUAAAUCAAAUUGAUUGGAGACAACCUAUAUAUCAGCAACAGAAUGGGUAAAUUAUGAUGUAUCUAACGUAUGCAACAUUUUAAAAUUAUGUUUACUAGGACUUCUUGCUAACAUAUGGGAAUAAAUAUUCAUGAUAUAUUAUUAACUCAAA
rnacentral:lncRNA from 1 species